rnacentral:piRNA from 1 species
CCCAAAUGCCACUUAACUGUUUCUCUCAGA